rnacentral:misc_RNA from 1 species
GAUGAAGAACGUAGCGAAAUGCGAUAAGUAGUGUGAAUUGCAGAAUUCAGUGAAUCAUCGAAUCUUUGAACGCACAUUGCGCCCCUUGGUAUUCCAUGGGGCAUGCCUGUUCGAGCGUCAUUUGUACCUUCAAGCUCUGCUUGGUGUUGGGUGUUUGUCUCGCCUCUGCGUGUAGACUCGCCUCAAAAUAAUUGGCAGCCGGCGUAUUGAUUUCGGAGCGCAGUACAUCUCGCGCUUUGCACUCAUAACGACGACGUCCAAAAGUACAUUUUACACUCUUGACCUCGGAUCAGGUAGGGAUACCCGCUGAACUUAAGCAUAUCAAUAAGCGGAGGA